rnacentral:rRNA from 1 species
UGGGGAAUAUUGGACAAUGGGCGAAAGCCUGAUCCAGCCAUGCCGCGUGUGUGAAGAAGGUCUUCGGAUUGUAAAGCACUUUAAGUUGGGAGGAAGGGCAGUAAGCGAAUACCUUGCUGUUUUGACGUUACCGACAGAAUAAGCACCGGCUAACUCUGUGCCAGCAGCCGCGGUAAUACAGAGGGUGCAAGCGUUAAUCGGAAUUACUGGGCGUAAAGCGCGCGUAGGUGGUUCGUUAAGUUGAAUGUGAAAGCCCCGGGCUCAACCUUGGAACGGCAUCAAAAACUGGCGAGCUAGAGUAGGGCAGAGGGUGGUGGAAUUUCCUGUGUAGCGGUGAAAUGCGUAGAUAUAGGAAGGAACACCAGUGGCGAAGGCGACCACCUGGGCUCACACUGACACUGAGGUGCGAAAGCGUGGGGAGCAAACAGG